rnacentral:RNase_P_RNA from 1 species
CGAGCUGGCCAGGCAGCCGUCGCGUCUUCUUCGGGAGGCGUGAAGGAAAGUCCGGGCUCCACAGGACAGGGCGCCAGGUAACUCCUGGGGGGCGCGAGCCCACGGAAAGUGCAGCAGAGAGCAGACCGCCCGCCGUUCUCGGCGGGUAAGGGUGAAAGGGUGCGGUAAGAGCGCACCGCGUUCGGCGGUAACGCCGGCGGCUAGGCAAACCCCGCCCGGAGCAAGGCCAAAUAGGGAUCUUUACGCGUGGUCCGCGCUGGAUUCGGGUAGGCCGCUAGAGGCGAUCGGCGACGGUCGCCCCAGAUGAAUGGUUGCCCACGACAGAACCCGGCUUAUCGGCCGGCUCGACUC